rnacentral:rRNA from 1 species
CCUACGGGUGGCAGCAGUGAGGAAUAUUGGUCAAUGGGCGCGAGCCUGAACCAGCGAAGUCGCGUGAGGGAUGACUGCCCUACGGGUUGUAAACUUCUUUUAUAAAGGAAUAAAGUGAGGCACGUGUGCCUUUUUGUAUGUAUUUUAUGAAUAAGGAUCGGCUAACUCCGUGCCAGCAGCCGCGGUUAUCCGGAGGAGCCGAGCGUUAUCCGGAUUUAUUGGGUUGAAAGGGAGCGGAGAUGGGUUGUUAAGUCAGAUGUGAAAGUUUGGGGCUCAACCGUACAAUUGCAAUUGAUACUGGGAGUCUGGAGUACAGUAGAGGUAGGCGGAAUUCGUGGUGUAGCGGUGAAAUGCUUAGAUAUCACGAAGAACUCCGAUGGCGAAGGCAGCUUACUAAACUGCAACUGACAUUGAUGCUCGAAAGUGUGGGUAUCAAACAGGAUUAGAUACCCCUGUAGUC